CUGUAGGACACCAGAUAAAUUUGUAAAUGUCACUUAAAGAUUAAAAACAACUCUGGAAUUCAAACUUCUAGAUGACAGUGUAAAGUGCCUGGUAAAUGAUUAGUAAUAAUGUCUCUGGAGAACACACGAAGUGUGUCAGUGCACCAACUUGGAACAAGAUUUCCAGGACAAGAAAAAGCAUCAGCCACACAUGUCCAGCUGUCAGAUCUCCUUCAUCAAGGAAUAUUUGCGAGACUCAUAAAAGCAUCCGAAGAGAGAGAGAGUCGGUCGUUCUAUCCUCUGAGCAAGGAAAGAGAAGCUUGUGCAUGGCCGGUGCAUGUUCCAGAGGAAGAAAGGCAGUGGGUGAGAGGGACACUUUGGGCCAGGCAACCAGUCCCAGGAGCACCCAGAACUGCAGCCCCGCCCCGUGGCCUGCGUCUAGGCCUCUGCCAGAUCUCCUGGGCCUCUCUGCAAAGAGCUCAAGCACUGCUGGUUUCCACAGCUUUCGAACUCAGCCCGAAGCUUCCUCGGCUACACUGAGGCCGUGAAGACAUAGAAUUGAAUGGAGACAUUGUACCCACCCUGACCAGCUCAGAGCCAUGGCCCAGGACAGACUACAGCCUAUCAGGAACCAGCACCACAGAGCAGGUCGUGGUGCAGUCCUUCUUUGCAUAUAAAGUUGUUACAACUUGGAUCUAAAAUGACCUCAAGGAUCUCACAUGUGUCCAAGGUGACUGGAUCCUGGGGCGCUGUGCUCCUCAGUGGCUCCAUCACGGGUAGUGAUUCUACAGCCAAAACCUGAAGGAGCCAGGUACGGUGGAGUCUGCGGAAAUGUGUCCUGUUCACUCCUGCACCGGGGCAUGAGUAAUCAUGCAGGGAAGGCACUUAUUUUCUCUCUGCACCAACUUCUAUAAAGUAUGCAUCAAAGUGCUGCACUGAGGACAAAUCAGGCAACAUAUUUGAACUAUAAAAGCAUAUUGUGGGGAUUGAGGAUUUACUAAAUCUUUCUCCUGCCUCAGCCUCCCACAGUGCUGGGAUGGCAGGCGUGCGCCACCACCUGGACCCAGCUGUUCUCCAGCGAUUACACUACUGCUGUCCCCUGAGCAAAGAGAACCAUGAAGAACCUCACAGGAGGUUCGCCACGGACAAACACAGCCAAGGCGGGACAGCUCUGCCUUCCCUCAUCCAGGGCUACUUCUGCCCCAGCCCCAGGAUGCAGGGACCUUCUCCAUCAUGCCAGGCUUCACACUGCCUCCACAUGGGUCAAGGCCAGGUGCUGUGUGGGAAGCAUCUGACCUCUGCUUCUCCUUGGGGCCACACCUUCUGUGACUCUCCAGGUCAUUGUCCAUUGCCAUAUGUAGCAGAGCUGGGAUUUGAAAGGCGCAUCAGGAGAGUCUGUGUCCAUGAACCCCAAACCACGCCACCUUCCUGGGAACUACAUUGUGUCAAUCAAGGUUUCACUGGCAGGCAGUGUAGUGGGGCACAGUGGGGAAAUUACCUUUCUGGCAUUGCCAAGUGGGUGACAUAUAAGACCAUGCAGCAUGGAACCAGAAGUGCAACUAUAGGACACAGAAACCAAGAACAGAGUGUGUACUUAAUUAGAUCACACGUGGUGCUAGGGUUUAGGUCUAGAAUCCCUCCCAAAAAGCUCCUGUGUUCAGAGCUGGAGCUUUUAGAAGGUGACAGAUCAUGGUUGCUGUGUUCAUCAGUGGAUCCAUCAUGGAUGCGUUCACAACUGAAUGUGCUGUAAGAGGUGGCCCUGGUUGGAGGAGGUCACUGGGGUGAGACCUGGAAAGGUGCAUUCCUGUCCCCAGCUCCUCCCUUCUCCUUGCUUCCAGGCCAUCACAAACUAAGCUAUUUCUGCCUUGGAGCGCUGACCAUGGACUGAUUCCUCAAUAUACUGUGAGCCAAAAUAAACUUCUCUUCGAUAAACUGUGGGUAUCUCUUCUCCCAGCGAUGAGAUCAACCCUAACCAGUUCUCAGGCUCUACAUGGUGAUGGGAAGGAGCUGCUGUCUCCAGGUGUAUUUCUUGGGGACACUGAUGAUGGAUUUCUGUGUUUUGCCAUCUGUAAUUGCUUCCCGUGGCAUGGGUCUGAGCCCUAAGAGUUCCCUGACUUCCACUUCCCACACUUCCAAAAGGGCAUCACACUCACUGUAUGGCUCAGGAAACUGGUUUACAAUCCUCUGUUUGCCACUAAUGAAGCUCUCUGGACAAGUUAUGUAAUCUCACUAACAUUCAGCUCCAUGUACACAACAGGCUACUCAGGGUAGCCCUAAGGUGACACUGAGAGGACUCUGAAGAGCAGC
ensembl:lncRNA